CCAAGAUGGCAGGCUCCCGAAGGUGUGUGCUGGCAUCGUCUGAGAACACGGCUGCCACUGAGUCUGUACAUCCAUUCCCCUCCAAACUGCCGCCCCCAGCCCCCCACAGAAUCAAUCUGACCAGACACGCCGCCCUCCGGUAUUCUCUGGCCUAGCACACCAUUUUUAUGAGGAACUUAGAAGGACACGGUCAGCGAUGGAAAGGAAACGAUAUCCAUGCUGGGGACUUUAUUUACUUCCGCACUAGCCACCCGAGCGCUAAGGGACAGCAGCAGGGCAAGGCUGGUGUAGACGUCAAUCCGAAAGAAUCACAACCACCAUCAGGAGACAGGAGGAGGGAUAGUCUCAUGGAUGCGGAGACAUGGUCUACGUCCCAGAGGAUAAAGAGGACUUCGCCGGGCAGAGAACAGCGGGGCUGAGGGAGGAACGACCUUCUAGGCAAAGGAAAGAAUCACAAGGUGGGGCUCAACUGGCUAAUGCUCUUGUGGCUUCUUCAGUCCUGUUCCUGGGAACUCUGCUUGUCCACACAGCUGUCCCCUCUGCCGAGGCCCCCACGGAUGGCUGUGGUCACCAUCCAUGGCUCAGCCCUGCUGACUGUC